rnacentral:rRNA from 1 species
AAUGAACGUUGGCGGCGUGGAUUAGGCAUGCAAGUCGAGCGAGAAGUUUUAAAAAGAUGCUUCGGUUGAUUUUUAAAACGGACAGCGGCGAAAGGGAGAGUAACGAGUAGAUACGUACCCAAGGGUUCGGGAUAGCCAUGCGAAAGCGUGAGUAAUACCGAAUAAUGUCUCCGGACCAAAGAUUUAUUGCCCUUGGAGCGGUUUGCUUACUAUUAGCUUGUUGGUGGGGUAAAGGCCUACCAAGGCUUAGAUGGUUAGCGGGUGUGAGAGCAUGACCCGUCUCACUGGGACUGAGACACUGCCCAGACACCUACGGGUGGCUGCAGUCGAGAAUCUUCCGCAAUGGACGAAAGUCUGACGGAGCGACGCCGCGUGCUGGAUGAAGGCCCUCGGGUUGUAAACAGCUGUCGUAGGGGAGGAAAUUUUGACCGAUCCUAGGAGGAAGCACAGGCUAAGUUCGUGCCAGCAGCCGCGGUAAUACGAACUGUGCAAACGUUAUUCGGAAUCACUGGGCUUAAAGGGUGCGUAGGCGGGUUGGUAGGUCAGAUGUGAAAGCCCACGGCUCAACCGUGGAAUUGCGUUUGAAACCACUAGUCUUGAGGGGAUCAGAGGAGAGCGGAACUGAUGGUGGAGCGGUGAAAUGCGUUGAUAUUAUCAGGAACACCGGUGGCGAAAGCGGCUCUCUGGGAUCCUUCUGACGCUGAGGCACGAAAGCUAGGGGAGCGAACGGG